GAUGAACGCUGGCGGCGUGCCUAAUACAUGCAAGUCGAGCGAAUGGAUUAAGAGCUUGCUCUUAUGAAGUUAGCGGCGGACGGGUGAGUAACACGUGGGUAACCUGCCCAUAAGACUGGGAUAACUCCGGGAAACCGGGGCUAAUACCGGAUAACAUUUUGAACCGCAUGGUUCGAAAUUGAAAGGCGGCUUCGGCUGUCACUUAUGGAUGGACCCGCGCCGCGUUAGCUAGUUGGGGAGGUAACGGCUCACCAAGGCAACGAUGCGUAGCCGACCUGAGAGGGUGAUCGGCCACACUGGGACUGAGACACGGCCCAGACUCCUACGGGAGGCAGCAGUAGGGAAUCUUCCGCAAUGGACGAAAGUCUGACGGAGCAACGCCGCGUGAGUGAUGAAGGCUUUCGGGUCGUAAAACUCUGUUGUUAGGGAAGAACAAGUGCUAGUUGAAUAAGCUGACACCUUGACGGUACCUAACCAGAAAGCCACGGCUAACUACGUGCCAGCAGCCGCGGUAA
rnacentral:rRNA from 1 species